GCGGGAGUAGAUCAAUGGUUAGAUCAACAGAUUGUGAUUCUGUGGGUUGCGGGUUCGAGUCCCGUCUCCUGCCCCA
rnacentral:tRNA from 1 species